GCACAACGCGAAGAACCUUACCCACCUUUGACAUGUACGGAAUCCUUUAGAGAUAGAGGAGUGCUCGAAAGAGAGCCGUAACACAGGUGCUGCAUGGCUGUCGUCAGCUCGUGUCGUAAGAUGUUGGGUUAAGUCCCGCAACGAGCGCAACCCUUGCCAUUAGUUGCUACGAAAGGGCACUCUAAUGGGACUGCCGGUGACAAACCGGAGGAAGGUGGGGAUGACGUCAAGUCCUCAUGGCCCUUAUAGGUGGGGCUACACACGUCAUACAAUGGCUGGUACAAAGGGUUGCCAACCCGCGAGGGGAGCUAAUCCCAUAAAGCCAGUCGUAGUCCGGAUCGCAGUCUGCAACUCGACUGCGUGAAGUCGGAAUCGCUAGUAAUCGUGGAUCAGAAUGUCACGGUGAAUACGUUCCCGGGUCUUGUACACACCG
rnacentral:rRNA from 1 species